rnacentral:rRNA from 1 species
GAUGAACGCUGGCGGCGUGCCUAACACAUGCAAGUCGAGCGAUUUACUUCGGUAAAGAGCGGCGGACGGGUGAGUAACGCGUGGGUAACCUGCCCUGUACACACGGAUAACAUACUGAAAGGUAUGCUAAUACGAGAUAAUAUGCUUCUAUCGCAUGAGUGAAGUAUCAAAGCUUUUUCGGUACAGGAUGGACCCGCGUCUGAUUAGCUAGUUGGUAAGGUAACGGCUUACCAAGGCGACGAUCAGUAGCCGACCUGAGAGGGUGAUCAGCCAGACUGGGACUGAGACACGGCCCAGACUCCUACGGGAGGCAGCAGUAGGGAAUUUUCCACAAUGGGCGAAAGCCUGAUGGAGCAACGCCGCGUGCAGGAUGAAGGCCUUCGGGUUGUAAACUGCUUUUGUUAGUGACGAUUAUGACGGUAGCUAACGAAUAAGGGUCUGCUAACUACGUGCCAGCCGCCGCCGUAA